UAAAAGAGGGAUGGUAUAGAUUGUGCAAAAAGAAAGAAGAAGUAUUCGGUUGUUAACCACAGCCAGUUUAUUUGUAGAAAAUAGAGAAGAGAGACAGUAUAAAUUGUAAAAAAAAAAAAGAGUAUAAAUAGGAAUGAAUCAUAGUCAGCAGUAUGAUUGUGAGGGCAGCCAUUCCUCUAUGCAUUCAGAAGUGAGGAUUCAGAAUUGCAGCAGGAGAUUCUAUAUUUGUAAAACUUAAAAUGACCCCUCGUUUCCCCUUGCGUCCCCACUACCCUCACCGCCCCCACUCUCCUUGCCGCAACCACCUCCAUAAAGCCCCUCCGGCUGUCCAGCGCCACUCACCCCUUCCGCCUCCGCCUUCGUCCUACCUUACCUCGGCUUCCAGGAAGAAUACUCGUGUUCGCCCGGAUUUCUCUUUCAAGGAUGCAAUUUUGACCCUACUUCUGUUCCUCCCUCCCGAUAGCUCCACCCUCAGAUCGCACAUCUCCAAUCCUUCUCUCCUUCUCUACUUCCCGAAAUUCCUCCUUAACCAUUCUCUUAAGUGUCGGUG
rnacentral:lncRNA from 1 species